rnacentral:tRNA from 1 species
AUCCUUUUAGUAUUAAUUAGUACAACUGACUUCCAAUCAGUUAGAUUCGGAGAAACCCGAAAAAGGAUA